rnacentral:rRNA from 1 species
CUACGGGGCGCUCCAGUCGGGAAUAUUGCGCAAUGGAGGAAACUCUGACGCAGUGACGCCGCGUAUAGGAAGAAGGUUUUCGGAUUGUAAACUAUUGUCGUUAGGGAAGAUAAAAGACAGUACCUAAGGAGGAAGCUCCGGCUAACUACGUGCCAGCAGCCGCGGUAAUACGUAGGGAGCAAGCGUUAUCCGGAUUUAUUGGGUGUAAAGGGUGCGUAGACGGGAAGACAAGUUAGUUGUGAAAUCCCUCGGCUUAACUGAGGAACUGCAACUAAAACUAUUUUUCUUGAGUGUUGGAGAGGAAAGUGGAAUUCCUAGUGUAGCGGUGAAAUGCGUAGAUAUUAGGAGGAACACCGGUGGCGAAGGCGACUUUCUGGACAACAACUGACGUUGAGGCACGAAAGUGUGGGGAGCAAACAGGAUUAGAUACCCUAGUAGUC